rnacentral:rRNA from 1 species
AGUGAACGCUGGCGGUAGGCCUAACACAUGCAAGUCGAACGGCAGCACAGUAAGAGCUUGCUCUUACGGGUGGCGAGUGGCGGACGGGUGAGGAAUACAUCGGAAUCUACUUUUUCGUGGGGGAUAACGUAGGGAAACUUACGCUAAUACCGCAUACGACCUACGGGUGAAAGCAGUGGAUCUUCGGACCUUGCGCGAUUGAAUUAGCCGAUGUCGGAUUAGCUAGUUGGCGGGGUAAAGGCCCACCAAGGCGACGAUCCGUAGCUGGUCUGAGAGGAUGAUCAGCCACACUGGAACUGAGACACGGUCCAGACUCCUACGGGAGGCAGCAGUGGGGAAUAUUGGACAAUGGGCGAAAGCCUGAUCCAGCAAUACCGCGUGGGUGAAGAAGGCCUUCGGGUUGUAAAGCCCUUUUGUUGGGAAAGAAAAGCAGCAGGUUAAUACCCCGCUGUUCUGACGGUACCCAAAGAAUAAGCACCGGCUAACUUCGUG